GUACUUACCUGGCGUAGAGAUAACCGUGAUCAACAAGGCGGUUUCUCCAGGGAAAGGCCUGUCCAUUGCACUUCGGACGGGUUGACCCUUGUGAAUAUCCUUAAUGUGGAUAUCUCGGACGUAUUAUUUUUGGUAGCCAAAUAUAAAAAUUCUAGAUAUCUUUAA